GCAAUGCUACAUUUCUUCCUUUCUAAAGAAGGAAGAUUUUCCUUCACAGUGCAUUUAUUUCAAAAUUCUAAAACCUCUCACAUCAGCCUGUCGUAUCAGCCUUGUCAAGUCUCACUUGUUGAAAUGAUUGCGAUUUGAAAACUUCUGAGUGUGCUCUUACAUUUUCCAUUUAUGCUCUAGGAGUAAGAAUACAUGAAAAUGAGGUCAAGAGUUGCAGGGGGUGGGGAACUGAAGGGAAAGGCAGCUUUGAAUGAGUGAAAACAAAUAGGUUGAUUAUUCAGAUGGUAGCCUCCUUGAAGGAAUGAGUAAGGACCUUGAUAUUAAGCUGUACUUUAUUUUGUAUUUAUUUUUUACCUUUAUUGCCUUAAUUAAACUACUUUCUACAGCAAAUGUUGAGUUUAAAUGAAAGAAUCCAACUUUCCUUUGCUUCCAAACUGCAUACAAUUUAAAUGUAAUUUAUCUUCUUAAAAUAACAAUAUAGAUAAAUGUUGGCAUUUCUUAAAAAAAAAACUAGCAAAAAAAACAAAGAAGUAACAAUUUAAAAAAGGAUCCUUCAUUAAGAUUUUACAACUUCCAGAAAGCAAAUUUGACUUUUAUAUUGUUUGUGAUACUGCAUCUGUGAGCCUAACCCUAAUUUAUUCUUCACCUAAAUUCUAUGAAAUAGAGGAUGCUGGGCAAAGGAAUACUCAGAUUUUUUUUUAGUGGGGGUAGAGAUUAUUUGCUGAUGUUAGAAAAUCCACAUAACUGUCCACUUCUCUUUCUAUAAUUCGUAGUAUUUUCUGCAAGUUAACUCCUUCAACGUUGAUCGAGAUGAUUAUUUGGUGAAGAUGCUUCUUAAGUAAAUAACCAAUUUUUUCUCAUCAAUAGACCAAAUGUUUUCCUCUAGGAGCCAGUAGAGGGAGCUGUUGGCAUUCGAUUAGGCAUUAUAACUCGACCUGGAAGUUUCCUUAAUUAAUGCAAUGUUUGAAAUCAAACCACCGUUUAAAUGUAAUGAUAUUAAUAUGCAAGAAUAGAUGUGUAAACGUGGAGAUUUUCCAUUCCCAUUAAACUUUCUACACAACCACAGAUUUCUGGUUUCUCUGUGGGCCCCUUUGAGAGAACUUAUGUUAUAGAAAUGUUGGCUGCUAUAAAUUAAAGCUGCUUAAAAUUGAGUUCAUGCACCUAGGCAAUGAUUCAACAUUUCUAAGACUGAUUGCAAGUCAAGAAAGAAAGCAGCUUCUUCUUCCAGCUCUUAAAAAAAAGAAGGCAAGAGAGAUGUCUGGCCUAGAAUGAUAUGACGUUUUAAAAAGAAAAAUGGUAUAUGCUCGUUGUAUAAUAAAUUUGAGUCUCUUUAACUAGAGGGAAGAAUUCUUGGUGUUAAGGUUCUGGGUACAUGCGAUGUAAUCUUGUGAUGGAAUAUGGCAUAUUGGUUUUCCUUAUAGUCCUUCCACUUCAAGUUCAUUUCCAUGGCCAUGGGUUCUAAAUGAUUUCUUUCACAGCCUAGGAUUUACAAGAUACUUUCACUUUCUGUACUUAGAUUUUAGUUAAAAUAGAUUGCUAAGUAACAAUUUCCAAGCACCUCACCCAAGUAUUAUCUUUAUCUCAAUAGUCAAAAAUGCAGUGGAUACAUAUAAACCAGUUUUAACAGUCUCCAGACAUCCAAGCAGAGAGCCUCUGAGAACCGCCCUGUGGGCACCCACUUAUCAUACUCCCCAGGUAAGAGGAAGGUGGGAGAGAUGUAGAAAUAAUCAUUCUGAUUCACCUAAAUUCUUUUUCUCCCGAAAUAAAGGUCAAAAUAAACUAUUGAACAUUAAGACCAAUGACUUUCAAAACAUAAUAGCUUACCAAAGUUGAACUGGAAAAUUAUUUGAAAAGGUAAAGAAAGCAGUGUUCUAUUUUGAUGUGAAUUAGCAAAUGAUCAGUAAACACACCACCCACUGGCUGCCAAUCGAUUUAAGAUUUCUUUACUAGAUGACACUGAGAGCAUAAUAGAAGUAGGAUUAAUUGUGUUCCUGUAUACAUAUAAAAGUGCCCCUUUCUUGGGACAGUGCAAGGCAUUGCAAUUUGCAAACUAAAUUAUAAAACAAAGUCAUUUCCCAUCUUCACGAAACAUGUGGAGAUUCUUGGAAAGAAAAAGAUAUAUGUAUAUAUAUAUAUAUAUUUGAAAUCUGAAUUUGGACAAUGUUCUGUACUAUUUCUAGGUAGUGUGUACUGUCUCAGAUCACUUAGGCUCCUUAAUAUAUCGUUUGGUCUGUUUUGUGUUCCUUUCUGGGCCUAACCAAUCAAAAUUAAUUUUGCUGCUUUUUCUGAGAGGUUUUGAGUAGGAAAAAUGGACUAUGUAGGUAGAAUUGCAAGUCAAGAAAAAGUGCUGUAUUGAACUUCUUGAAUGAUUUAGUUAGGACAAAAACCCCUAGCACUCUUAAAAAUAGAAUUUUAGGUGAGAUUUUGUCUCAUGUGAAGCAUUAAUUUUAACAGAGAUUUAUAUAUAAGCUCUCAUUUGAAUAAUAAUGUAAAAUUAAAUUUAAAUUGUAAAUAACGUCCAGAUACUAGUUGUUUCCUGGCUCAAAUUCUUUAGCACAUAUGGUGCUAGCAUAAGCUUGUGCCUGUCUGCCUACUCUGGGUAAUUUUGCAUGCAAAUAGUUUUAGUGCCUAUGUUGAGGUGCUAAAACGUGUUUAGUACACUUGAAAAUAUUUGCAUUGCAAAAGGAGAGUGAAUCUCCUGAGGAAAAUCAAAUUGAUAUUUCAUAUUAAGAGACCACUUUGGGUACUGUGUGGCAUUCUUCUAGGGAGAAUUCUGUUUACAGUGCAACUAGCAUUUUUAAUUGACCUUUCGAAAAGAAGGUCUGGCUAUAGCUUUGCCAGGUUUAUAAACCGUUGGACCAUCUUCUGGCAGCAAUCAGCACAUUAAUCAGGAGGAGAGAGAAAGAGAAGGAAAGAAUCGACUUGCCUUGGCUGGACUGCAGCUUUUCAUGCCUCAGUUUGGUGGCUUGGUAGGAUAAAUAUGCUAAUUAUGAUGGAAAGUUUCAGCUGGAAUGCGCCUAACUAAUUAGCUAACUAACUAACCCACUAACUCAGGAAAGGCUGGGGCUAGUGCAGCGGAGCAGCAGUGGAUGCUGGGUGUGAGGCCCCACACACGCUUCCAUUUGCCUCAGUCCCAUCUGCUGCAUUUACGGGAACCAGUUCGUUAAGAGUCUGAAUUGAAUCCAAAUAAAAUGCAUUUCUGAUGCAAGCCCGAUGACUGGUGCCAUUCUACGCUGCAUUAUGUCAAAUUAGAGUUCGUUUGGAAAAGAGGUUACAGAGAUCCUACGUAAAUGCCGCUCGCAUAGAACAUUGAUGGAAUGAGUUCUGUACAAAUUCAACAUCCAAUUUCUCUAAACAAAUCAAACCCUCCCUCUGGAUUUGGCCCCUGUUCACCAAGACCGACAAAAAAUUUAGAACCCCUAAUAAGGGAAUAAAUAAAAUACAAGCAGCUUGCUCUUAAGAGGUUUGUGGAACUUUUCUUGUAACUGUUGUUCUAUGUUUUUGGAGAAUUUUAUUGUAUUGCAUAGACUCUGUCGGGUGUUGAAUGUCCUUAUAAAAUGAAACUAAGUUCAGUAUCCCUAAGAGAAACAGAUGAUACCAGGUCUCUAAGAGGAAUUCAAAUUGGGGGACAGAACUGCACCUCCCUCCUCUGUCGAGAAGUGAUGCCAGAUGGAAUCUUAAUAGCUCCCAUUGUUGUAGAGCGGCUCCAUCGCUUGCAGCCCAAGCACGGUGCAAGACUUGCCUACUAUAGAUGCUUAUAUUGGCUAAAGCUCUGGGGUGUGAUCCAGACUUUCUCCCCGUAUUUUACUCAUUCAUGCCUAAUAUUUUAUUCUUUCAUCUCUGCCACUUCCCACCAUGUGCAAGGUGCAGUAUUCUUUUCUGACAAUGAACAGCCAGAGACAGGUAGCAGGCAGAAGCUAAAAGAAACUCAUUAUGAACAAGAAGAGGUUGACUUUCUGUGCUAGUAAAGCUCCUGUUUGCAGCCUGUGUUCUUAAUACAAUCUCAAAAUCAAAAACAAAGAAAAAAACUCCAGCCUCUUGUCUGUGGGACCCUGGCACAUCAAUCAAUCUAUUAACCUUGAGAUGACUGCAUCCCAGCUGACGUGACACCUUCACUGUUGUCUUACAAAAGACAAAGCCUGAAUUACCCAGCUAAGCUCCUCCUGGAUUUUUGACCUGUAAUAACGGCUACCUUCCUUCAUGAAACUGCUAUACUCCAGGACUCACCUCUACUACUGUGAGGCUUAACCCAUGAAAAGCCACUGAAUCUCUAUAUUAUGCUUCUGUACAAAAUUGGAGGAUUUCAAAGUGUUCCAGCAACAAAAUAUAAGAAAUUGCAAGAACACAUAAAUUUCAAGUGUUUUCUACCUACGUCAGCAACAUCUUAGCAAAAUACAGGCAGGAUAUCCAAGUGCCAAGAUGGAAAAUAAAAUGAAAAGGUGCUCCCAUCGUGACAAUAAUUUAGAAAACUGCAAAAUACCUCCUGCUCACAGCUUUCCAUAUUCAUUUUCCAUACAUUUUAACAGAAAUCUAAAUUUUGCUAAUUGUGAAAUGUUUUACACCCUAUAAAAACUUUUUUGAGUGCUAGUAAUAAUCCCUUUGCCUUACCUGCAUUCUUCAAAUCUAUUGGAUUUAAGUGACUACAGUUAUAUUUAUACUUAAAAUCUGUAAAUACACAUAUGACAGUCCUUCAAAAAACUUGAGGAAAUGGAAUUAAAUGAUAACUCUAUUUUGGUGCAAAGUGUUGAAAUCCAUGCAAAAUAUUUUCAUAAUAAGAAUAUGAGUAGUUUAAAAAAUUUGUCUUCUAACAGAUCCCAAUAGUGAUGAUGGACAUGCAAAGGCUCACAUUGGGCCUCAGUGUGCAGGCACGAGGGCACCUGAUACAUAGCUGAUCAUUUCCUGGCAUUAUCCUCAGGUAAAAAUGACCUAGCAAGAGUAGGAAGGUGGAACUGUAAGGUUGGUGGGUAAAAUGAACAAUAAUGUUUCCACAAUCAUUGUUCUCAUUUUGAAUCCAUGCUUUUCUUCUGACUUUCUGAAACACACCAGGGCUUUAUUCAUCUGCUGGCUCUGUUUGUGGUUUACAGAGGUGUCAUUGUUCUUAGCCACAUCCUGUUUUCCCUUAGAUGGCCUUUAAGGUUCAGUGGGAGUGACCAGAGGGUCAACUUUGUUGUCUUUAAUAGUGGAGGAAAACACUGGGUAGUUCAGGAAAACUGGAAUGCAACCAUAAAGUGCUCCUUUUAACUUCAGUUUUGAAAAUGAACUUUAAUUUCCAGUAAUCGAGAUUGCUGUACAAACUCAGAUCAUUACCUGGUAGAUGAUAUUUCUCACAUCUAGAAGAGGCACAAUUAUUUGUGGCUGGUAUUAGUCUGUUGUCUUUAAAUAUAGAUCAGUUUUCACUUGUUUGCGUCCUUCUAAAAGGUCAUCUGCUUAUAAAGUAUUUUGGGGAAAGGAGAGUUUACAUUGUUCCUGCUAUACUGUUAGACUUUCUUCUGUGGCUCCUGUGUCAGUGAAGGGGUCCUGGGACAGCCAUCAAUGUGAUGUGGAGAAUACCUGCUAGUAGAAGGAACUCAAAAAAAAGUGUGUGAGCACAGAGUGAAUCUCUUCCCUCUGAUGGCUUCAUCCCCUGCCCUGUAAAAUCUGUGUUAGAUGUUACAACAUAAGUGAUGGUAUUUAAAACUGUAUACAUGUAAGAUUAUUCUCAUAGUUCAAGAACAAGAACCCACACACUAAAGCCUUUGCAGUUGGUUGGAAACAAGGACCCACCCACUAAAGUCUUUGCAGUUGGUUGGAUUUUCUGGGUAUAUCACAAUCUUGCUGUGCUUCCCUUCAGUCUAUGACUUCUUAUCUCCCUUAAGGAAACAUCCAACCCAAUACAGAGCCUUGGUCCCUUGUUCUAGUUCCACCUGUCUCGCCAUUCCCAUAGCACAUUUCCCAAAAUCUGAGAUGAGUAUCCAUUGGGUUUUCCUCUCCAAUGUCAAAAAGAACUGCUUGAAAUGGCCAUCGGUCCCCCAAGACUGGCCCACUUGGAUAUUACUCCAUUAGUGAAUGCUAUAGUUUUGUCCUUUUAAAAAAAAGAUUUAUUUAUUCAUUUAGUGAAUUACUUAUUUGAAAGUCAGAGUUAUACAGAGAGAGAAGGAGAGGUAGAGAGAGAGGUCUUCCAUCCAGUGGUUCACUCCCCAAUUGGCCACACUGGCCAGAGCUGCACCAUUCCAAGCUGUACCAAUCUGAAGCCAAGAGCCAGGAGCUUCUUCUAGGUCUUUCACUUGGAUGCAGGGACCCAAGUACCUGGGCCAUCUUCUACUGCUUUCCCAGGCCAUAGCAGAGGGCUGGAUUGGAAGUUGAGUAGCACCAGCACCCAUAUAUAAUGCCGACACUGUAGGCGGCAGCUUUACUCUCUAUGCCACAGUGCCAGCCCCUUGGAGUUGUCCUUUAUUAAGUGUCCAACAAGCACCUUUGGGUCAAAUUUAUAUUUCUUCAAAGUUAAGUUCAGCACAAAUUUUCAAUCUAAAAUUUUAAAGCAAAAUAUAUACAUUUACUCUAUAUUAAGCAAGUUACUACAUUACUAUAACAAUGAAUUCCUUUCUUUUUAUGCCUUCCAGCUAUUCAAGUCUUCUCUGAACACACACACGCAUGCAUACACACACAAGCUGAAACCACUUAAUAGAUCCUCCUUUAGCUACACAAUGACUCAGCUGAAAUUUUUGCAAUCACUUCCCAAUUGCCUGACGGGGGUGGAGCGGUAGGGUUUUAUGUUUUCCUCUUCCUGUUAUAGUUGCAAGGAAAGCUGCCUGUGAGUCAGUCUACAACAGGUUAAUGUUCACCGCACAUGAACAGUUGAUCCAGCUUGAAAUAAGAAGAACUCAGUGAAAACUCCAGCUCAACCACUACAUGACAUUUGAUUUCGCAGAGUUUCCGUGGUUCCUUGAUCAACCAUCACCAUGCAUCCCCAGAAGGUAAUCAACUUCCCUUCUCUGUCUUCCUGAGGAAGGAUCCAUUGGCUGCAGACUCCAACUCUUGCUUCACAGGUCUCUGUCAUAUUUUUUCCUCUCUAACUCUGGCUCCUGUGGCAACCUUUGACUUUGAUGACCUUGAAGCUGGAACUGGGGAUGAGUGCACAUGUCAGCUCAGUAAUCGCUGUUGAUCAUGAAGAGACCGCUGAUACCUCUACCAAGGCUGCCAUCUCUGCAGAUCUGAGCAAUUGAUUACCACCUUAAAUGUGCAGAGUGGACAGUGAGAGAGAGAGACGGAGAGAAAGGUCUUCCUUUGCCGUUGGCUCACCCUCCAAUGGCCACCACAGCCGGCGCACCGCGCUGAUCCGAUGGCAGGAGCCAGUUUUUUGAAAAGCUUAAACCCUAUAUGCUCCUAUCCCUUUACCCUAUAAUCUCCCAAACCUCUUGAAUUUUAAAUUUAAGAUCAAAUAAUUAUAAAUAAUAGACCAAAGUUUCAUUUUAUAUUAAAAUAUAUAAAAUACAAUGUGGUGCUAAAAAAACUUGACCUUGUUUGCAAAACUUUUCAUCUGCCAGUGAAAGUUAAACGUGUGUAGAUAAUAUAGGAUUUUCUCUUAAUCACACUUUAGGCAGUCAUGAGAUGUGCGUAUGUGUGUGUGUUAAAGAGGAAGGGGAGAGAGAGAAAGAGAGAGAUUCCUUACAUUUUCUUCUACUUGGAUCUUCCAUUCACAGAAAGUUUUGAAAAUAUCAUUACUGAAAAACCAUAUUGUUGAGAAAAUGCUGCACAUUGUGCUUUUCAAACAAGAAUAGGCUGACCCUUUACCUUUCAUUUGUCCAGUUCUAAUCCAAAAAUUUUACCCCACAGCACAUUUUAAAUCUGUAGAAAAUACUGACCGACAUUUCUGGUCCUAGAACUUAGCAACAUUUCCUAGCCGCUCUUGCCAUUAACAAAGUCAAAGGUAUGUGCUUGGCAAGUGAUUUGUAUCAACCACCUCCAAGCAGUUCUCCUUGCUCCCUGUCUUCCCUCAUAUACGGGCCACAUGCAGAGUAUCCAGUUGAGGACUCCAAUGCCUAAUGGCAGAGCCACUAUAGUUAAAGAACAGUGGCCUCUGCUUGGAGUAGACUUCCCUCCUCCCCUUAGUCCCACCCCUGCCAAUCUGCACAGGACUGGGAUGUAUGUCAGCAAUAGGCCUUGAUUAAUGAGUUUCAGCAUUGCUAGUUAUAAUGCUUAGACUGUUCUCAUUAACAAAAACUCCAAAGCAAAAUUCUACACGGGUUCUUACUAGGAACGCAUCACAAACAAUGCUCUCUACUGGGCAUUAAGUGCCAGGGCAUAGUAAAGUUCAAAUGGCUAAGCAAGAUAUUUUAUAUUAAUUCAUCAUGGAGCUUUCCUGCAAUUUUAGUUAGCCACACUGCAAUACUUUUUAAGGUUCUCAAUUUUUGCAACCACCAUAUUAAACAAGGCACUCAAGUUUGCCCUUUUUCAAUGGCUCAUCUGGAAUUUGUGAGGUACACUGGUAGGGAAAACAGUGACUGUCCAUUAUGGGAUCCAGUGUACUGAUUGUUGGAGCUGUUUCAGGUGUGGGCAACUCAUACACCUGUUUGAGUUACAGAAGGACUGGUAUCCUUUGCAGUGUGUCUGGUUUACUAGCGUGAAAGAUGAAACAACAGAGGACUGAACUCAGUGUCACCCGGGCAUUUCUUUUCUGCACACAGGCCUUCUAGUCAUGAAAGGUGGGCUUAUUUGCAUUUGCAUGACUGUUCAAGAAAUGAGGAAAAUGACAAGACACCACUUCUCUGGAUGCAUGAGCCUUUUGUGCUACAGUGCUCAGUUGGGAUGCUCCUCGUUGCUUUUUAAUCCCUAGUCCCUUUACCUCUUGGAGAAGGCCCUGGGGCACUCUCUACAGAGGGCUCUUGACACUGGAAAUUCCUCCUUUUGGUUGAUCAAAGCUGGUGCAGUCUGACCCCACCCCAGGAAAUGGUGGCAGACACAUCUGUUCAGUCUGGCUUCCUGCCAACAGAGGAUUUAUUCUGGGGUAAGUGGGGGAGAAGGACUUUUAUGUCAGGAGGGGAUUUAUUGUUGGCUGAUGGGGUGUGGCGAGUGUGAAGGGUGGGAACCACUUCAGUCCCUUGGCUGGAUUGUCUGACUUUUUGUGAGGCAGAGUUUAAUCUUUGUAUAUGAGUUCUGAGACUUGUGAUGGGCAAGGGCUGAAUCAGUGAACUUCAACGAUAAUGGAAACACUUUUUGGAAGUGAAGUACAGACUUGCAAAAAGUUAGAUGAUGAAAGUGAAGGUUUGCUGUCUACAUGCGGUAAGAGGAUGAUUCGAAUCAAACAACUGAGGACAACACUCUCACAGUCCUCUGCAGUUAGCCAGCAUUGCUCCUCAGACUAAUGGGAAGGAGACUAGAGGCUGAGCUGCUUGGUUUUCUGAAACUCUGGCCUUCACUAGGCAGAAGUCCUUGGAUGUUAGGUCUUUUUGUAUCUCAGUGUCUCUGUAGCAACAAUAAUAGUAACACUGAAAUGACAUGGCACAUUGAAUUCUGUGCAGCAUACCCUGUCUUUUUUUUUUUUUGACAGGCAGAGUGGACAGUGAGAGACAGAGAGAAAGGUCUUCCUUUUUGCCAUUGGUUCACCCUCCAAUGGCAGCCGCGGCCGGCGCACUGCGCUGAUCUGAUGGCAGGAGCCAGGUACUUAUCCUGGUCUCCCAUGGGGUGCAGGGCCCAAGGACUUGGGCCAUCCUCCACUGCACUCCCUGGCCACAGCAGAGAGCUGGUCUGGAAGAGGGGCAACCGGGACAGAAUCCGACGCCCCGACCGGGACUAGAACCCGGUGUGCUGGCGCCGCUAGGCGGAGGAUUAGCCCAUUAAGCCACGGCACCGGCUCAUACCCUGUCUUGUAAAAUUAACAUAUAUUAGAAAGAGCCAGCGUGACAUGAUAUAGGGCUGAUCCGAUGACUAGAGUGUUAGAGUUGCCUAAGAAAAUGACAGCUGGGUAUAGUCCUGAGUCCAGCACCAUUUCAAGGAUUCAAUAUGAGAACAGGAAAUAAUGCCAUGGGGUGUAACUGAGUUUCAUUCUAAAGCCUGAGAGAAACACGGCAUUUUGCUCUUGAGAAAACCCUUUAUCUUUCCCACCUCCAUGUUAUUGUCUAUGGUUGCCAGGGCAGAGAUUUACAUAGGUAUGAGCUAGAUUUCAUCUGGUAAAUAUCUGUAGAGCAGCUUCUAUGCUCACUGCUGGGGCAUAUGCUGAAGCCCACAUACAAGAAAUGUAAGUCAUCAUCCCUGCUCUCCAAAGGCAGGAGUUCCUGUUUGACUUUCGAGUCUUAAGAAUUUAGGUAGAGCCAGAACCCAUUUGUAAAUGAGGAAAGAUGUUCUCACUGGUGCACACAUCAUGGUGGCAUAGUUUUAUGAAUGGAAUAUGGGCCACAUCUCAGCCCUCACUGAUCCUUCAGUCUGCCCCUGCACAUCUUUUUGUGUUUUGAUGGCCAUCUUAUCUCGAGGAGGACAUGUAGUUAGGUCUGCCAAGAAUCCUAAGCUGCAUGAGGGAACAAAAGACCUUCUGGUGAAUAAAUCAUGCUAAGGAAAGAGAAAUUAGAAACAGACAACUUUAAUCCAAGGCCAAUAUAUCACAGUAAAAUAAUCUGGGAGAUUCCAAAGGCAGCAUGGUAUCUGUGAAUAGUGAGAUGGAAGAGUUGUUUAAACAAAAGGUCUCCUGAUGGGAGAACACUGGGAGAAGGAGGAGCGCCUACUGGGAUCUUCUACAUUAGAAUAUGGAACAGAGAUGCUAUGUGGGGGAUGGAGUUUGGUGGUGCCAUGUAGCAGCCCAUGAAGUUUUAGUUCAGAUCAGCUAAAGGAGGUAGAAGUUUUGAGAUGGCCAUAGGUUGUCCAAGUGAUGACUCCUCCAGCAUUAGAUCAGACAGGGAGGGUGGAAAAUGUCAACUCCACUCGUCAAUAUACAUACACUUGUUGGAACAUUCCAGAAGACAGGGAGAGGGGGAGACUUCUAAAAAAGUGCUAAAGCUUCUGAGAUUGUGACUUCAGGAAGAGUGAAUAUAUCAACCUUGUUACAGUUACUGUGGCAUUGUCUGUAUCUCAAUGUGGACAUCAUUAGGGAAACCAGAAUAACACAGACACACACCUUUGAAAGAGUGAAGCAAUGAUGAAUACCACUGUAGCAUGAUAUUCCCUCACCACAGGGUGUGCAGUACAGGGUGUGGGCAGUUGCUGUAUGCCAGCUGUCUCUACACAUUCCACUUGAAGCAGAGUUCACUUGCUGAGGAGGAAAGAAUGUGCAGGAUGGUGAGCAACUUCCAAUAAUUAAUAACUGGAGGUUCCUCUACAAUCCUCUUAAACAUCUAUUUCAGUAAAGGAGGAGUCAGAAGAGGGGAAGAGGAAGGAAGUUGGGGAGGGGAAGGUGUGUGAAGGCAAGUGAACCCUAAACUGGGAACCAAGAUCCUGGGUUCUCCAGCUAGCAGAAUGGGUAUGGGAACUGGAUCAACCUGUAAGAUUUCAUUUUCUCAUUUGUAGAAUGAAGGGAUAGAGUGAACAGAUUUUAGCUUUCCAUCCUGAGCUGGAUGCUCACAUUUACUUGUCUUUUAAUUUGGUAAUUAUUGAAAAAGGAACUUUUGUCUACACAUCAUGUGAACAAUUUGUGGCUUAUUCUGGUAGCAUAGGACUGCAAGCUUUGCUUUCUGACUGGACUUUUUGGCUGGAGACUAACCAAGUUGGGGCUCCACAAGUGCUCAUAAAGUAAUGUUUCUGGACUUCUGAGCAAACUUGUUUUGCUACCUCUCCCACAGUUUUUAUUUCCUUUCUUGCUUCCUCCAUGUCAGAUCCCUAUUUCCUUUUUGGUCACUGUAUAAAUGUGUGAGACUUCACCUAACCCUAUCAGAGUGUCUGGGCAGUUAGUCUGUGUUUUUGCACAUCCUGCCAAAAUAAGCUUGGUCAUUUACCUCUGUUUAUUUUCUCUUUCCAGACAUCAGGUAUUGUCUGCAUUCCAGCGCCCACACAAAAGUAGUAUCUCCCCAAUUAAGGCUGUGCACUUUCUGAUUGUUGCUAACUUUGGUGGAUUUGGCUCCAGACCAACCAGAAGCAUUUAUCAAACAGCAGCCGGUGGCAUUUGGUUUCUUCAAGUACUUUCAAAUUCUCUACAACAGUCCUUCAAAUGACAUUUUUAAUAACCAACCUUAAAAUAGAGAGGAGAAGAGGGGAGGGUAUAGAGGAGGAGAGUGAGGUGGGGGAAGGGCAAUCAAAGAAUAAACUACAAGGGAAGGAACCCAAAGAAAAUUGGACACUUGACCACCCUUCCUUCCAGGACACACAUUAGAAAUUUGCCUUUUUAGGAUAUGGUAAUCCAGAUUUUGCUCAAACUGAAUUCAAACACUUAUCCAUUACUAUUAGAUUGAUUCUACUCUUGCUCACAAAUUACUAGUGUUGCCUGACCUAAGGACUUUUUAGGCUCUUAUUCAGAUUUAUCUUCUGGAGUCAAUGUUUUGGCAAUUUAUCUGCCUUACUCAGCAACUUUCACUGGCUCCAUAAUGCUGGAUACUCUUUAUAGUUCUGAGUAGAGCUAAUUUUUUGGUCUAUUUCCACUGCUUUUCUUUUUAAGUGUGUAUUUCUAUCUAUUUGAAGGCAGAGAGGGGUAGGGGGGAGAAGGGGAGGAGGUAGAGGAGAGAGAGAGAGGAAGAGAGAGAGAGAGAGAGAGAGAGAAAUCUUCUAUCUGCUAGUUUCCUCCCCAAAUGUCCACAGCAGUCAGGGCUAGGCCAGGCUGAAGGCAGGAACCAGAAAUCCCAUCCAGGCCUCCCAUGGGGGUGACAAGAGCCCAAGUACACCAGCAGGAAACUGGACCAAGGCUUGAACAGGCAGUCUGAUACUGGAUGAGGGAAACAAGCCACACUAUUCACAAAAACACUAAAACUACUAUUCUUUUGGCUUUAGAGUUUCACUUUAAUUCCUUAUUGCAACUAUGUCAAAUGUUGAGUACACAUACUUCUCAAACUAGGUAUUUUCCUGUUGCCUAUCAAUGAAGUACCUCAAAUGUUCCACAAAUAUUCUCAUAUUCUCUGCUAGGAAUGAAGUGAGCUCUAUCCUCAUUUGAAACUUGUUACAGCAAACAUAGAGAAAGAAUAUGUGGUUUCAGGAUUGAUUGACCAAUACUUACACUGAUGACAGAAAGAGAAAAAAUGUGGUUAAAACAAGACAAAAGACCUUUUGUCUUACAAUACUGAAAAUAACAGUGAUGAGGAGGUAGUAAAAUUUUGUGUACAGCUGAUGAGCAUUAUGGAAUGUGUUUUCUUAGACAUCUCGUGUUAUGAUAAUAAGAGAAACACAUAAAACUGUUUAGAGUGAUUAAAGAAUGAUUUACAUAUGAGUAAGGCUGGAGGAAAAUUUAAUCAAGUUAACUUGCCAGGUACAUAAAUAUUGUCAAUAUUGUCCAAGAAGAAGUAGAUGCUGCUGCUGAUUUUCUGUUUCCAUGGAAAAUUGGUAGAGGAAAAGAAGAGGAAGCAAAACGCUUUUAACCAUCUACUAUAUGACACCUUUGUGCUUAGCAAUUGCCUCACUUGAUCCUUAGACGAAUCUCCCCAGGGGAAUCAUCAUUAUCCUCCUUUUACACCAUGUUGGAAACCCAAAGCAAAUGGCCCAAAUCACUUAGUUGCCAAUGGCACAGCCAGGACAUUGGCAGAAAACACCCUGCCCACAGGACUGUGUUCUCUCCAUCUUGAACACCUAUGAUUAUUUUUGUAUUUAAUCAUUCAGUUCUUUCCUUCUUGUUCUGCAAAAAUUACACAGGAUGUUAUCAUCAUGACCUGUUCAGUUCUGUUAAAUAUGAUGAUUACAAUUUUGAAAUCAUUUUAGUACUGAACAGCUGUUCACCAAACAGUUUCCAAGAUGGCAUCUCCAUUCUGCAUACACACACAUUAUCUAAAACAAGGUGCUUUUCUAUUUUGGCUAAGGCACAGUUCCUUCCCGUUGAGUUGUGCCCACCUCAUUGUUCCACCUCAGCUGAACUGUGAACGUGACAGCAAAAUACUGAAACACGUGUCUGGACAGUUAACGGCCCAUUCUCUUCUGGACCCAAACAAGUAAUGAGAAUUUCUGCUCAGCUUCAACUAUUACCAAAUGUGUCUUUGAAAACUCAUUCCUUAAGUUUAACAGAGUAUUAACUAAACUUAACAAUGUCUGAGGAGUUUGGAAAUUCCCAUAGCAGUAUUAACAUUAAAUCUAUUGAAAAUAUGAAUUAGGCUAUGCUGUCCGAUGUUUUGGGAGAUGGGAAGUAGACAUGGCAAACCCACAGAUAUGGAAUCAAAUUUCCAAAGGAGGAGCAAUCAUUGCUGAAAAUAGUGUACACCUGUGUGGGUUGCUCUAUGGAUAUAUGGGACAAUGGUUUCCUUAGUGUCUGAAAAAGUUAAAGGGGCCGGCGCUGUGGCGCAGUAGGUUGAACCCCUGGCCUGCAGUGCCAACAUGCCAUGUGGGCACCAGUUUAAGUCCUGACUGCUCCACUUCUAGUCCAGGUCCCUGCUAAUGCACCUGGGAAAGCAGCGGAGGAUGGCCCAAGUGCUUGGGCCCCUUCACCCACUUGGAAGACCUGGAAGAAGUUCCUGGCUCCUGGCUUCAGAUCGGCUCAGCUCUGGCUAUUGGGGCCAUUUGAGCAUUUGAGGAGUGAAACUCUCUCUCUCUCUCUCUCUCUCUCUCUCCCUCUCUACCUCUCUCUGUAACUCUUUCAAAUGAAUAAAAUAAAUC